rnacentral:rRNA from 1 species
AAUAUUGGACAAUGGGUGCAAGCCUGAUCCAGCCAUCCCGCGUGAAGGAUUAAGGUCCUAUGGAUUGUAAACUUCUUUUAUACAGGGAUAAACCUCUCCUCGUGAGGAGAGCUGAAGGUACUGUAUGAAUAAGCACCGGCUAACUCCGUGCCAGCAGCCGCGGUAAUACGGAGGGUGCAAGCGUUAUCCGGAUUUAUUGGGUUUAAAGGGUCCGUAGGCGGGCCGAUAAGUCAGUGGUGAAAUCUCGCAGCUUAACUGUGAAACUGCCAUUGAUACUGUAUGUCUUGAGUGAGAUUGAAGCAGCUGGAAUGUGUAGUGUAGCGGUGAAAUGCAUAGAUAUUACACAGAACACCGAUAGCGUAGGCAGGUUGCUAAGUCUUUACUGACGCUGAUGGACGAAAGCGUGGGGAGCAAACA